UAGGUUCAGACUUAUCUACAUUGUCAGGCAUGGAAUCACGUUCCAUUGACAUGCUGGGUGGAUAGUUGGCGGGUUUAUCCGUAUCAAGACAUCCAGUCAAAGUAACAGCUGUAAUCAUUGCGGCAAUCAGUAUAUGUAAGAGUUUCAUUUUCCCUAUCUCCCUAUAGCUAUUUAAAAAUAAUAUAGUGUCUUUCUCUACACUUUUUCUGCCUGGCCUUCGUUCCCGAAAAACCAGCGCUCGCUAUUAUUAUCAGAAUAAAAAUUUAUUGUCCAGAAA
rnacentral:sRNA from 1 species